rnacentral:rRNA from 1 species
GACGAACCGUGCAAACGUUAUUCGGAAUCACUGGGCUUAAAGCGUGCGUAGGCGGCUAAGAAAGUUGGGUGUGAAAUCCCUCGGCUCAACCGAGGAAUUGCGCUCAAAACUACUUAGCUUGAGGGAGUUAGAGGUGAGCGGAACUAAUGGUGGAGCGGUGAAAUGCGUUGAUAUCAUUAGGAACACCGGUGGCGAAAGCGGCUCACUGGGACUCGUCUGACGCUGAGGCACGAAAGCGAGGGUAGCGAACGGG